rnacentral:rRNA from 1 species
UACGAGGGGUGCAAGCGUUGCUCGGAAUUAUUGGGCGUAAAGGGUUGGUAGGUGGUCUUGUUUGUCUAGGGUGAAAUCCCAUGGCUUAACUGUGGAAGUGCCCUAGAAACGGCAAGACUAGAGUCCUAGAGGGGUUUGUGGAAUUCCCGGUGUGGCGGUGAAAUGCGUAGAGAUCGGGAGGAACACCGGUGGCGAAAGCGGCGCACUGGGGCUUAACUGACGCUGAGGCACGAAAGCCAGGGUAGCGAACGGG